GGAGGUCCGAACCCACGAGCGUUGAAAAGCUCGGGGAUGACUUGUGGGUAGCGGUGAAAUUCCAAUCGAGCCCGGAGAUAGCUGGUUCUCCCCGAAAUAGCUUUAGGGCUAGCCUCAAGGUGAGAGAUACGGAGGUAGAGCACUGAAUGUCCUAGGGGGUAUUGCACCUACCGAAGACUAUCAAACUCCGAAUGCCGUCAUCUUAUACUUGGGAGUCAGACUGUGGGUGAUAAGAUUCAUAGUCGAAAGGGCAACAGCCCAGAUCGUCAGCUAAGGUCCCUAAAUGUAAGUUAAGUGGUAAAGGAUGUGGGAUUGCACAGACAACCAGGAUGUUGGCUUAGAAGCAGCCACUCAUUCAAAGAGUGCGUAAUAGCUCACUGGUCGAGUGAUCCUGCGCCGAAGAUUUCCGGGGCUAAAACUUACUACCGAAGCUACGGCAUCAGUAAUGAUGGGUAGGGGAGCUUCCCAUACGGGUUGAAGCAUGACCGUAAGGACAUGUGGACAGUAUGGGAGUGAGAAUGUUGGCAUGAGUAGCGAGAUGUGGGUGAGAAUCCCACAGGCCGUAAACCCAAGGUUUCCAGGGGAAGGUUCGUCCGCCCUGGGUUAGUCGGGACCUAAGCUGAGGCCGAAAGGCGUAGGUGAUGGACAACAGGUUGAUAUUCCUGUACUACCGAUAACUGUUUGAGAGAAGGGAUGACACAGUAGGAUAAGCUAAGCACACUGUUGGUUAUGUGUGCCCAAGCAUUGAGGCAGUCAAAGUAGGCAAAUCCGCUUUGAUAAUGCUGGGAUGUGAUGGGGAGCGAAAUUUAGUAGCGAAGUAGCUGAUUUCACACUGUCAAGAAAAGUCUCUAUCGAGGUUAAAGGUACCCGUACCGCAAACCGACACAGGUGGGUGAGGAGAGUAUCCUAAGGCCAGCGAGAGAACUGUUGUUAAGGAACUCGGCAAAAUGACCCCGUAACUUAGGGAUAAGGGGUGCCACCAUC
rnacentral:rRNA from 1 species